ACGUCUGCUUUACACGCAGAAGGUCUUGGGUUCGAUCCCCAAUAGCUCUA
rfam:Zancudomyces culisetae strain COL-18-3 scaffold-3872, whole genome shotgun sequence.